GACGAACGCUGGCGGCGUGCUUAACACAUGCAAGUCGAACGAAGUGGCGAACGGGUGAGUAACGCAUAAUCAACCUGCCCUUCAGAGGGGGACAACAGUUGGAAACGACUGCUAAUACCGCAUACUGAAGUAGGUGGUGGCGUCUGAGUAGCUAGUGGGAGGGGUAACGGCCCACCAAGGCGAUGAUCAGUAGACGGUCUGAAGGGAUGAACGGCCAAAAUGGGACUGAGAAAACGCCCAGACUCCUCAGGGAGGCAGCAGGGGGGAAGCUUCCGCAAUGGACGAAAGUCUGACGCAGCAACUCCGCGUGGGUGAUGACGGCCUUCGGGUUGUAAAGCUCUGUUAAUCGGGACGCGGUACCGGAAUAGAAAGCCACGGCUAACUACGUGCCAGCAGCCGCGGUAAUUC
rnacentral:rRNA from 1 species